rnacentral:rRNA from 1 species
CCUACGGGACGCAGCAGUGAGGAAUAUUGGUCAAUGGGAGAGAUCCUGAACCAGCCAAGCCGCGUGAGGGAAGACGGCCCUAUGGGUUGUAAACCUCUUUUGUCAGGGAGCAACGCCGGCUACGUGUAGCCGGACUGAGAGUACCUGAAGAAAAAGCAUCGGCUAACUCCGUGCCAGCAGCCGCGGUAAUACGUAGGUGGCGAGCGUUAUCCGGAAUGAUUGGGCGUAAAGGGUGCGUAGGCGGCCUGCUAAGUCUGGAGUGAAAGGUACCGGCUCAACCGGUACAGGCUCUGGAAACUGGCGGG